rnacentral:rRNA from 1 species
UACGUAGGGUGCGAGCGUUGUCCGGAAUUAUUGGGCGUAAAGAGCCUGUAGGCGGUCUGUCGCGUCUGCUGUGAAAAUCCGGGGCUCAACCCCGGACUUGCAGUGGGUACGGGCAGACUAGAGUGUGGUAGGGGAGACUGGAAUUCCUGGUGUAGCGGUGAAAUGCGCAGAUAUCAGGAGGAACACCGAUGGCGAAGGCAGGUCUCUGGGCCACUACUGACGCUGAGAAGCGAAAGCAUGGGGAGCGAACAGG